rnacentral:rRNA from 1 species
GACGAACGCUGGCGGCGUGCUUAACACAUGCAAGUCGAACGGAAAGGCCCUGCUUGCAGGGUGCUCGAGUGGCGAACGGGUGAGUAACACGUGGGUGAUCUGCCCCUUACUUUGGGAUAAGCCUGGGAAACUGGGUCUAAUACUGGAUAGGACCAUGCUGUAGGUGGUGUGGUGGAAAGAUUAGUUUCGGUAAGGGAUGAGCUCGCGGCCUAUCAGCUUGUUGGUGGGGUAAUGGCCUACCAAGGCGUCGCCGGGUAGCCGGCCUGAGAGGGUGGACGGCCACAUUGGGACUGAGAUACGGCCCAGACUCCUACGGGAGGCAGCAGUGGGGAAUAUUGCACAAUGGGCGCAAGCCUGAUGCAGCGACGCCGCGUGGGGGAUGACGGCCUUCGGGUUGUAAACUCCUUUCAGCCAUGACGAAGCCCUUGUGGUGACGGUAGUGGUAGAAGAAGCACCGGCUAACUACGUG